GACGUUCCUUCCGCGCUUUCGCUUGCAGUUCAUUCAAUGCAAUGAGCAAGGUAACUACAUAUGAGCAAGGUAACACUAAUAUGAGCAAGGUAACACUAAUGAGCAAGGUAACUACAUAUGAGCAAGGUAACGACACAUUUUUUCGUGCGUGCAGCCUGUUAAAUCGAAUUAUA